rnacentral:lncRNA from 1 species
UUCCAUAUUGUGUUGUUGUAUGCACAUGAACCUAGUAGAAACUAAAUAUUGGUCGGCACCUAUUUGAGGUCUGAUUUUUCUAGUUUGCAGUUCAUCUUGAUUAGGAGAAAAUGCAAGAUUCGUGAUCUACAAGAGAUGCUAGAGCCUUUGCUCUAAUUAAGGUAUUUUUACUUUUGUUCUCACCCACCUCUCCAAUGUUUUAUCAUGAAUAAACGCCAGUCAAGUUGUCUCGUAUAUUAAAACAUACCUAUGUGCCCAAGAUCAUGAGAUCAGCAUUAUUGAGCGAUUAGUGGCCAUGUUGGUUUAGUCUAAACACAACCGCUUCCUAUUUCAUUGGUGUCUUUUAUUGUAUCACUAUGCAGUAUGCCAGUACCAUCAAAAUGUGUUCUUGAGUAUAGUUUGUCCAUGCCAUCCGAUUUCACGCUUUAUUAUGUAUGACUUAGGAAGUAUUGAGCAGCUACAUGGCAGGUUACAAGGAAGAUUACCAGUACAACAAGGAGGCUGCAACAACAAGUUCAGGUUAUCAAUCAAGGCAAGAAAUUCUACAUAUUCUUCUGAACAAACAGGUACCGUUCCCUGCUGUUACAUUAUCAAAUAUUUGCAUACUGCUUUGGUUUUAUUCUAUUAUUGAGAUGAUGACGACUUUGCCCAUUUUUCUUCAAAAUCUGAAAUGGAUAGACUUAACUCCCUAAUAACUUAUCUACUCAGGCGGUUAGCUGAUAGUUCUUUCAAACUAAUCCAGAAGCAUGUGAUCAGGUUGUCAUUUGAAUGGAUUUUCUUAGUUGCGUGGUUUGUAUCAGGUCUAAGAUAUGAUGCUAUUACUCCAUUAUUUUGUCUGUAGCUGUAAAAUUGGGUAAUUUUGCUGUGAUAAAAACAAGUACGGUAUAUAUUCCAUUGUUAUUUGAAAAAGUGAUACACCAAAUAUAUUAUGCUUAUUAUAUCCUAUAGAUAUUGUUCCUCUUUCUUGUUACCUUUUUGGAGGAAACUGUUGACACUUCCAUAUUUUUUCAAG